AUUGAACGCUGGCGGCAGGCUUAACACAUGCAAGUCGAACGGUAACAUAAGAAAAGCUUGCUUUUUUUGAUGACGAGUGGCGGACGGGUGAGUAAUGCUUGGGAAUCUGCCUUAUGGAGGGGGAUAACUACGGGAAACUGUAGCUAAUACCGCAUAAUAUCUACGGAUUAAAGUGUGGGAUCUUCGGACCACAUACCAUAAGAUGAGCCCAAGUGAGAUUAGGUAGUUGGUGAGGUAAAGGCUCACCAAGCUGACGAUCUCUAGCUGGUUUGAGAGGAUGACCAGCCACACUGGGACUGAGACACGGCCCAGACUCCUACGGGAGGCAGCAGUGGGGAAUAUUGCACAAUGGGCGCAAGCCUGAUGCAGCCAUGUCGCGUGAAUGAAGAAGGCUUUCGGGUUGUAAAGUUCUUUCAUUAGUGAGAAAGGUAUAAAUGUUAAUAGCAUUUGUAAUUGAUGUUAGCUAAAGAAGAAGCACCGGCUAACUCCGUGCCAGCAGCCGCGGUAAUACGGAGGGUGCGAGCGUUAAUCGGAAUAACUGGGCGUAAAGGGCAUGCAGGCGGUUACUUAAGUCAGAUGUGAAAGCCCCGAGCUUAACUUGGGAAUUGCAUUUGAAACUGGGUGACUAGAGUCCUCUAGGGAGGGGUAGAAUUCCACGUGUAGCGGUGAAAUGCGUAGAGAUGUGGAGGAAUACCGAAGGCGAAGGCAGCCCCUUGGAGAGAGACUGACGCUCAUAUGCGAAAGCGUGGGUAGCAAACAGG
rnacentral:rRNA from 1 species